rnacentral:rRNA from 1 species
UAGGGAAUCUUCCGCAAUGGACGCAAGUCUGACGGAGCAACGCCGCGUGAGUGAAGAAGGUUUUCGGAUCGUAAAACUCUGUUGUUAGAGAAGAACAAGUGCUAGAGUAACUGUUAGCGCCUUGACGGUAUCUAACCAGAAAGCCACGGCUAACUACGUGCCAGCAGCCGCGGUAAUACGUAGGUGGCAAGCGUUGUCCGGAUUUAUUGGGCGUAAAGCGAGCGCAGGCGGUUCCUUAAGUCUGAUGUGAAAGCCCCCGGCUCAACCGGGGAGGGUCAUUGGAAACUGGGGAACUUGAGUGCAGAAGAGGAGAGUGGAAUUCCAUGUGUAGCGGUGAAAUGCGUAGAUAUAUGGAGGAACACCAGUGGCGAAGGCGACUCUCUGGUCUGUAACUGACGCUGAGGCUCGAAAGCGUGGGUAGCAAACAGGAUUAGAUACCCUGGUAGUCCACGCCGUAAACGAUGAGUGCUAAGUGUUGGAGGGUUUCCGCCCUUCAGUGCUGCAGUUAACGCAUUAAGCACUCCGCCUGGGGAGUACGACCGCNNAGGUUG